CCGGUGUGGCCAAUGGCGCGACGGUGAAUUACUGGUUUACCAUCGGCCAGGCCAAUGGUUCUGCGGCCGAUACCCCGGC
rnacentral:tRNA from 1 species